UAUAAUUUACUCAAAAAUAUAUGAAGAGAAGCUUUUCACGAUCAUCAAGUUUAUUGGUAUUUAGAACCUUGUCGGGAAAAAAAAUCUUGAUCUCUUGAAGUUUUUAACUAGAAAAGUACUUUUAAUAUAAUUUUUGUGAUUUUAAAUCCGGUAAAAAAUUGGAAGUUACAUUUUUCUUUUUCUUUUUCUUUUUUUAUAAUUUGAUUAGGGUAGGAGAUGAAAGAGAAUUUGUUGUCAUGUCUAUUUUUGACAUUUUUUGGGUCCUAGGCGAAAUAAUAAACUAGACCCGUUUAAAAAUAUAUAAAAUGUAAUGCAAUAAAAUAAAAUCAUAUACUAAUAAUUUCAUUAAAAUAAUACGUUUUAUGGCAUUAAGUGAAUAAUAUAUUUUUCUAACAAAAUUUUUAAAAAAAAU
rnacentral:lncRNA from 1 species